CGUGUAGGCGGGACGGCACGUCGGUCGUUGAAAGCCCCCGGCUCAACCGGGGAAUGGGCGCCGAUACGACCGUCCUUGAGGAACGUAGGGGGACCUGGAACUUCCGGUGGAGCGGUGAAAUGCGUUGAGAUCGGAAGGAACGCCCGUGGCGAAAGCGAGGUCCUGGACGUUUUCUGACGCUGAGACGCGAAAGCCAGGGGAGCGAACG
rnacentral:rRNA from 1 species